UAGGGAUUUGAGUUGUUUAUAAAUAUGUGAUAUUCUAUUCUAUCAAACAUAGAAGAAAAUAUAAAAAAGAUGUAGUCUUUUUAAAUUCUUAACACAUUCCAAUUCAUUUCUUCUCUGUUCCUAUUCUUCUCCUCUAAUUUUAACCCAACACCUUAAUUGUUCUGUCAUAUUCAUGGCUAAUUCUAUUAUGUAAAGACUCUUUUAUUUUCCUAAAACCAGAUCCCAAAAACCACCCAAAGCCACCGUCAAUUUUCUUUUUGCAUUUCUAAGUGUUACAACACUACAGUCACAGAAAAUUAGAUCAAAAUUUGCUUGAAUGACUCAACUCAACUCAACUCAAC
rnacentral:misc_RNA from 1 species